CAAGUUCUUCCUCUAAUUUUUAUAUCAGUUGUCAAUUUUCUAUUGUUUGCUUUUUAUUUAAUUUUCUUCUUUUCUAUAGCCCUAGGCUUGUUUCGAGUUGCAUUGGUUUUGAGUACAACUCGAAACCGAAACCGACUUGAUCGGUUUGGGUAAAUUCCAAUCCGAACCGACCCAAUACAACGUUGAAACAAAACCAAACCAAAUCAAAUUAAUUUGGGACGGUUUGGUUUGGUUAGCGAUUUGGACAUAAUGUAAAACGAAAGAAAAAAGAAUAUGAGAAGUACAUGACUUGUUUCAUUGUGCAAUAGGCAUCUUGAAGCGACAAAUAGGACAACAGUGACUUCUCUUUAACCAUUUCGAAAUGCAAAAGCUAUGAAAAAUAUGAGAACAUGGAAGGGUUGAUACCACGGACCCUGUCCCUAUGUCUUCCAAGCACACCAUACAACUCUCUACCCCGUUGCUUUUGUUCUUGAAACGAAUCUCCUUCGGCAGAGAUAUGAUCGCUUCCAUGCUCGCAGGUAUCAUGUUCGGACCAUUAAUCGACCCCAACGAAGUUUCAUCCAGACGGUGUUUAACAAACUGCGUCAUAUAAAUAUCUAACAUUUUUUUCUCAUCUGCAGAAGCUAGGAUGUCGUGUCCAUAGCUAAUUAAAAUUUUCACAAUUUCUUCUUUAAAAUAAUGAUCAGAUCCACAAUCUGGAAGUUUUGACAACAGAUUUUGUUUCAAAUCAUCAUGGAUCCCCCCAAAAUCGACCCAAGUAAAUCGUGACCUCAAUGGUCUUACAUUUUCCAUUAAAACUUCGUCAUUGUAAUUCACCCAUUGUUCGAUGGUUUGAACAUUUAAUUUCAGGAGAACACACAUUGUUGAAUGAGGGUUGAUACCCACUGGUUCUGUAAUCGGUCGUUCAUCUAUGGAUGCCGACCAACAGGUCGACACGGGGAGUGUUCUAUUUAUUUCCGAACCCAUCAAUAUUUAGAGAAAAGCUCGAGUGCACGCAAUCUAGAGAGAGAUUAUUUCUGGGAAUACUAUGUAUU
rnacentral:lncRNA from 1 species